rnacentral:lncRNA from 1 species
AGGUCACCCAAGCAGCAUGGGCAGGCUUGGAACCCACACACUGGCUUCUGAGCCCAUGCCCUUCCCCACUGUACUUAGGACUUUCACUUGCCAGAAAUUUGUGAAAGUGUCAGAUCACUAGUAACUCCCUUAUUUGGGGUUCUGGCUUGUGGAUUCUACAAGUUGCAAAAUAAGAUCGAUUGAUUUGGCUGCCUUCACACAUGUCAAUGGCAAACCCAGGACUCAAGUUAGAUCCUACAGCGCUCUCUCCACCUGACUGUGCAUUUAGCUGAUGCUCAGAAAAACUGCCACACAAUGUUAAACUAUGCAAGCAAAAGUUAAAAGACUGGUGGAGGAGAGGCUAUGUAUCUUCAUGUUGGUGAUGUAAAUUUCUGUCAUUACUAAUUAUAAUAACCAUAGUGAUACUUAUCCUUUACCAGGCACUUUGUUCUGAGAAUCACAACACAUGUCACAGUUCAUACCUGCCUUCUAUGUACCCACUGAAUAAGGACAAUUCCCAUUUCGCUAACUGGAGUAGUAAAAGGAUUAAAUAGAGAGCUAAGGUCAAAAACAGUAAGGUGAGGGAACCUGAGGGAUGUGUACUCUGAGAAUUGGGUCAAUGACAAAUAGUCUAUUUAAUCAGUAAACAUUGGAAUCAAAAUUACUUAUGCCCAAGGACAUAGCUCAAAGUUUAUCAGGGAUAAACCAAGGCAGUGCGAGAGAGCACCUGAGUUCUCCAACCAGCAUACUCUUUAGGAACAGAGUUUAAUUUUAUUUUAUUCCAGGGGAAAUAUGCUCUCAGUUAGAAUGGGUGGGAGAAGGAACCAGCCCUUUAGUUUCUCUAAAUGCUUACAAUUAACAAGAACAAUAAAUAAAAACAGAAGUAACGUCAGAAGAGAAUGGAGGGAAGAAAUUAGGAGUCUCGUAACGUAUAAAAGAAGCAGGGAAACGUUGUUUUUAGGGAAUUGGCAACAAGUGAAUUUGUACAUGUUGAAAGGAAAAAAAGAGCAAAGGAAACCAGCGCAUUGCUAUAGGUUUGAUAGGCGACUAAGGGCGAGCAAAGCCAGCGUGUGUGAGGUCUCAAGCUUCAAAACUCAAGUCUGAAGACGCACAGCUCUGAGGACUUCCAGCACGCUUGCCUCAGACCCCGUAACUGGAAGGUCUGUUGAGAAGGCACACAAAUGUAAAUCGAAAUCAUUUACAAUCGUAGAAGGAAGUGUUUUAACUCAUCACAAACUGAGCUUCUAUUACCUGAGAAAAAGAUGGAGAGCGACACAUACCAGCGUGCCAGAUGGGACCUGGGUGACAGCAAGUCAAAGGAGCCUCAGGGAUGAUCAGUUCACAAACAAGUUAUUGGUUUCGCUUUCAAACU